rnacentral:lncRNA from 1 species
CCCGUUUGCCCAGCAGUACUGAAAAUUGUUGAACAACCAAGUCACAAUGCAGGGCAAAUCAAAGCUUAAGUCAAAACUGUCAUCAAAACCAAAGAAGAAACAGCAGGCAUAUAAGAGCAGUGCGUCAAAGACAAAGAGAGGCCAAGGAUCCAUCAUUCCCUCGAAGAAGUCAGUUGUUUUGCAGCAGCAAAAAGUUACAAAGUCUCUUACUAAGGCCAUCAAUGCCAAGGCAGAAAGUGAUUUGAAAUCAAGAUCCUUCCAGUCAGAUGGAAAAUCAUUCAAGAUGCUUGGAAAAGUGGAUGUCAGCAGUGAACCAAAAAAAGGAGCGGGAAGCUCGAAGGGAGCAGGAGGUGCAAAGGCAGCAGGCAAUAAGAAGGGAAAGAAACAAGUUCAUGGAAAUAAAAAGAAGAAAUAGAAUGUUGAUGAAUGUCAUCUGUGUGAACCAGCAUCACAUCAUAAAAUAGCCAUUUCAUAUAAAUGACAACAUCAGGUUGUGAAUAGGAUUGCAACCAAUCACCACUGUUUAAGAUGUGCAGAUUGUUACUUUGAGUUUGGUUUUUGAAAGAAACGACUUUUCUGCAAGGGGUUUCUUGUGCUGUUUGGUUUUGUUUCUAUAGAGAUGACUGGAUGUAGUUCCCAUUUCAUUCUGUAGAUUUUCAACUGAGAUUCGUGACAGCAGAACACUGGUGCUUCUUGGCCUAUGACAAGUUAGCGGGUCUGCUUGCGGGCUUGCCCGGCUUAUGAGCUUGCCUUCUUCCAUUUCGGAGUGCAUGUCACUGAAACGCAUAAUACAAAAGGUUGCAUCUGA